rnacentral:rRNA from 1 species
AAUAGAUACCCGGGUAGUCCACGCCGUAAACGUUGGGCGCUAGGUGUGGGGGCCAUUCCACGGUCUCCGUGCCGCAGCUAACGCAUUAAGCGCCCCGCCUGGGGAGUACGGCCGCAAGGCUAAAACUCAAAGGAAUUGACGGGGGCCCGCACAAGCGGCGGAGCAUGUUGCUUAAUUCGAUGCAACGCGAAGAACCCUACCUAGGCUUGACAUGCACGGAAAUCUCGCAGAGAUGCGGGGUGCCUUUGGCGUCGUGCACAGGUGGUGCAUGGUUGUCGUCAGCUCGUGUCGUGAGAUGUUGGGUUAAGUCCCGCAACGAGCGCAACCCUCGUUCCAUGUUGCCAGCACGUAGUGGUGGGGACUCAUGGGAGACUGCCGGGGUCAACUCGGAGGAAGGUGGGGAUGACGUCAAAUCAUCAUGCCCCUUAUGUCUAGGGCUGCAAACAUGCUACAAUGGCCGGUACAAAGGGCUGCGAUACCGCGAGGUGGAGCGAAUCCCAAAAAGCCGGUCUCAGUUCGGACUGGGGUCUG